GCCCUGGUGGUACAAUGGGUAAGCGCUUGACUGCUAACCAAAAGGUUGGUGGUUCGAACCCACCCAGUGGCU
rnacentral:tRNA from 1 species